UGGGGAUCCAGCAUGUGCGGGGGCACCAGGCCCGGGUCGGACAGGAGGAGGUGGGGACUCAGGACAUAACAGGGUCCCCAGCCGCCACCACAUCUCACCCACCGAAAUUCAUUUAGUAGCAGGUACAGGAGCGGCUCCAGCUCAGGCCUCCCAAGGCCAGUGCUGGAGCUUCGAGGGCUGGAGAGCAGGAACGAAGGAGCAGUGCGCGGGGCGGCCCGCAGCAGGGUGUCACCCGGAGGGAGCGGCGGCCACAGGAUCGGGCUCUGGAGAGAUUUCUGCAGCGAGGAGGCUGCCGUGGGCCCGGCCUGCGGGUGGCCGUUCCCACGUGGCACUGCGGCCCAGGGGCGGGCGCGGAGAGGGCCCACAGUGCACUCGGUGACACUGUAUGCCCUCACCGCUCAGCCCCUGGGUCUGGCGUGACGGACAGGACAGCGUCCAGGGGAGUCAAGGGCACAGGCGAGACCAGACUAGGCGAGGAGUGUGGGGCGGGGUGAGUGAGACCUCUGGCGGGGGGUCGGGGCGCAGGCAGGGGCGAAGAGCAGGAGCCUGGCGGCGAGCCAGGGGAGGCACUGGCCUCCAGAGCCCGGGCCAAGGCGGGCCUCUGCGGGCGUCGACGGAGCAGGGAUCGGUGCCUCUGGGCUCGGACUGGAGAUGAGGCCAGGUCUCCAGUUCGGGUGGUGAGCCCGCCAGCCACCGAAGGCCAGGCGCGAGGCUGCGCUCAGAGGGAUAGGACAUGGUCCGGUGUGACGGUGAGGACAGACGUGAUGCCGUCCGGCCUUCCUGAACAUUCUAGGCUGGCACCGCGGGGAGUCAGAACAGCCACGGCUCUCGUUCCUUUGCGUUCCUGAAGGAGUCAACACACUGCUGCUCUCUGGACCCCUAUAACCCUCAAACUGACAAGAAAUGGUGCUACCCAGCUCAUGCCUGGGCCUUGGAAACCGGACUUCUUCAAGUCCUUCUAGCUCUGACGCAAGAAGAUGCUGCAUUCUGGAACCACUACACUACUUGACUCAGGAAUCGGCUCUGGAAGGUGACGCAAAAGGAACAAGAGCAACCUGACCACAACACCUUUGGCAGCGAGCAGCCCCCGUGGCAGCCGCCACCCACCCCUCCUGGCAAUGUCAUCCCCGUGGCCACCCUGCCAUGGCCAGGCGACCACCAGCCGCCACGCCCCACGCCCCUCGCCCUCUUUCUCUUCUUCCUUUCCUAUGUUCUCUCAUUUCCUUUCUUUCCUUUCCUUUUUGCUCGGGAGACUUAAAGCCCCCAUGACUCUGUUUCCCCGUCCCUCCUGAAUUUAAUUUGCACUAAGUCGUUUGCACUGGUUUGGAGUCUUGGAUCUGGCCUUGAGUUCCCGAGCGUGUGUGCAAGCAAGCUGCUGAGUGCACCUGGCCUCCUGUGGCCCACAGCGCCCGGCACCCACCUUCCGUCCAUCUCUGUGUGGGGGUGCCCGGGUGCGGCUGAGAGCGUGAGGCCCCACCCCCCCUUGCCUAGUCUGGAAGCUCCUAACACCGAGCAGACCUUGAAGCAUUCCAUUGUAGCAUGACUC
rnacentral:misc_RNA from 1 species